UAUGGAACAAUAUAUUCAUGUAACGUUUAAGGCUGUGAAGGAAAGCCUGGGCUGAUUGGGAAAGGUAGUAACAGGGCUGGCUUUAACCCUUCCAGGACCGGAGUGGGUGACCACCCUGCUACACCGUCAUUGAUUUGAGAUCUACCAUACCAUUCUCUCACUAGAAGGGAAAACCUAUAAUGGCAGCAGGCCAUAAAAGAGAACCAGUUUGGGAAUGAAGCUCCUCUACCUGUGGGUAAGACAGGCAUGCGUGCAAAAUGCAAACAGUGCAACAAAGAAAUGCAAGGCCUGGUUGCCCAAAUGAAACAACAUCAUGAGAAGUGUUCCUUCUCAGGACGAAGCUGCGCUGAAGAUGACGAAAGGAACAUGUCUGAACAUGCAGGAUCUUCGGAGAAUCCAUCCUCAACAUACAGGAUUCUGAAGACUAUCCACCUUCAAGAUCACCAUCAUUUUCUAUAGUUUCAGAGUUAUCUGCCAAUAAUAGUGUUUCAGUCACAUCAUGUAUGUCACAUAGCCACAGUAUAUCACCUGUAGGAAAAAGAAAAAAAAAUCUCUAUCAUCCAGAAACAACCAUAGAUAAGUUUGUGAUAAGAACCAGCAGAUUACAAAAAGAGGUAACUGAUGGGGAAAAUUGCCCAAUUUGUUUAUGCAACAAACUCUCCUUUCCGUAUGAUUGAGAACCCACACUUCAUGAACAUGGUUCAGUCAUUAAGACCAGGAUACAGUCCAUCCAACAGAGCAGAUGUCACAGGCAAAUUGCUGGAUAAAGUGUAUGAAAGAGAAAUUGAGCAGUGUGCAAAAGGUCUAGAAGGUAAAAUUGUUAACCUGAGUCUUGAUGGGUGGAAAAAUGUCCACAAUGAUCCUGUUGUAUGUGCUUGUGUGACAACAGAAGAAGGGAAUGUCUUCCUUACAGAAACAAUUGAUACAUCAGGAAAUGCACACACAGCAGAAUACUUACAAGAAGUAGCAGUAAAAGCUAUAAGAAAUGGGGGGGGGGUGGUGAAUUCAAAUGUUUAGUACGCAGGUUGGUCACAGAUAAUGCUGCAAAUGUAUCCAAUAUAAGAAGAAAUUAUUUAGAAGAGCAUGAAGAGAGUCCCAAGCUAAUAGCAUAUGGUUGCAGUGCUCAUUUUGAUUCACCUCCUAGCCAAAGACUUCAGUGUUCCAGAAAUAAAGGCUAAUGUUGUUGAAAUUGCAAAAUACUUCCGUAACAACCACUUUGCAGCAGCUGCUCUAAAAAAAGUGGGAGGAACCAAGCUAACUCUCCCACAAGACGUGCGAUGGAACUCAGUAGUGGACUGUUUUGAGCACUAUAUCAAGAACUGGCUUAAUCUGAUGACAGUUUGUGAACAAAAUCACACAAAAAAAGAUGGCACUGUCACAGCCAAAGUUCUCAACAUUGGGCUUAAGAGAAAUGUUGAACACAUGCUGAGUGCCCUGAAGCCUAUUUCUGUAGCCUUGAACAAAAUGCAGGGAAAUAGCUGUUUUAUUGCUGACGCUGUUGAAAUUUGGAAGGAACUGAGUGAGAUUUAAAAAGAGAAAUAUGCAAUGACAGAGUGCUUGUCCCAUUCAUUUUUGUAACGUAACUAUCUCCAGCUCAUUUUCUUGCAAAUAUUCUCAAUACUCGGUACCAGGAUCAAACCUUAACUGCUGAAGAAAAGGAGUUGACUAUGACAUGGACAUCCAGCAAUCAUCCCUUCAUAAUGCCAACUAUAAUAAACUUCAGAGCUAAGGGUGAACCAUUCAAGAAAUAUGUUUGCUGAUGAUGUUUUAAAGAAAGUCAUACCAGUGAACAGGUGGAAGUCACUUAAGCACUUGGAUUCAGAGACUGUUGAAGUGAUAAUCUUGCUUUUAACAGCAGUAGCUUCUUCUGCCAGUGUAGAAAGAAUAUUUUCUUCCUUUGGACGAAUUCAUUCCAAAUUGAGAAAUCGUCUGGGACCUGAAAAAGCAGGAAAGCUUGUUUUCCUUUUCACCUUCAUUUUCCUGUUUGUUCAUAAUCUGGAAGACGACUGAGUUAGCUGCACAAGCCAAUAUUUUAAAUUUCUCAUGUUGACCUGGCUGACAUAGUCGAUUUAAUUUUUGUUUGUUUGUUUUUUAAAUUCAUUAACUAUUGUAGUUAAACAAUUUUAACAAAAACAAACCUGAUUUUAAAAAACUUUGAAUGUUUAACUAAAUUCAAAAAUUAAUAUACUUGUUUUGUUAAAAUAUGUUUGCUGUUGAAGAAAAAAAUCCAGAUACAUAACAUUGUUGUUUUAGUUAAAUAAAACAAUUUAAAUG